UACAGAGGCCUCGAGCGUUUAGGCGGAAUCACUGGGCUUAAAGCGUGUGUAGGCGGACUUCUAAGUACCUCGUGAAAUCCCAGCGCUCAACGUUGGAACCGCUUGGUAUACUGGUCGUCUUGAGCCACUUAGGGGCUACCGGAACAAAUGGUGGAGCGGUGAAAUGCGUAGAUAUCAUUUGGAACGCCAAUGGUGAAAACAGGUAGCUGGGAGUGUGCUGACGCUGAGACACGAAAGCCAGGGGAGCGAACGGG
rnacentral:rRNA from 1 species